GCGGUAUGCUUAACACAUGCACGUCGUACGAGAAUCUUUGAUUCUAGUGGCGGACGGGUGAGUAACACGUGAGAAUCUACCCUUAGGAGGGAAAUAACAGUAGGAAACCGCUGCUAAAGUCCCAUAUACCUUUUGGUGAAAUAGAGUAAUCUGCCUAGGGAAGAGCUCGCGUCUGAUUAGCUAGUUGGUGGGGUAAAUGCCUACCAAGGCGGGAUGAUCAGUAGUUGGUUUGAGAGGAUGAUCAGCCACACUGGGACUGAGACACCGGCCCAGACUCCUACGGGAGGCAGCAGUGAGGAAUUUUCCGCAAUGGGCGAAAGCCUGACGGAGCAAUACCGCGUGAGGGAUGACGGCCUUUGGGUUGUAAACCUCUUUUUUCAAGGAGGAAGUUCUGACGUGUACUUGAAGAAUAAGCAUCGGCUAACUCCGUGCCAGCAGCCGCGGUAAGACGGAGGAUGCAAGUGUUAUCCGGAAUUAUUGGGCGUAAAGCGUCUGUAGGUUGCCUAACAAGUCUAUUGUUAAAGGUUAAAGCUCAACUUUAAAACUGCAGUAGAAACUGUUAGGCUUGAGUACAGUCGAAGUAGAGGGAAUUUCCAGUGAAGCGGUGAAAUGCGUAGAUAUUGGAAGGAAACCAAUGGCGAAGGCCUCUCUAGACUUUUACUUGACCUCAGAGUCCAAAGCUAGGGUAGCAAAUGGAUUAAAU
rnacentral:rRNA from 1 species